GAACUGCCUAUUUAGUGUCACUUCCUCUCUCUCUCUCUCUCAGUGAGGUUGGGCUAUCUCCAUGGCGUUGGGAGCUAGCUCAGCGACGUUGGGAGCUAGCUCAGCGACGUUGGGAGCUCUGGGUGACGUUUUGGCGUGCUUGCUGAUAGCGUGAUUUAGGUGAGACGUCUUCCCUGAGCGACCUUGCUCAUUCUACAGAUGAAGAAACUGAGGCAAAUAGGAGAAAAGUAACUUGCCCAUGGUCACAGAGCUAGAACAUAAGGUUUUGGCUAAUAAAUUAACAGAAGUGACCACCUACAUUAAUAUCAAUGACAGCAUCAAUAAUUCUAGCUGUGUCUGCUUCCUUUCUGAGAAGUAGAGAACCCAGCCCAUAUCUCUUUCAAACAGCUACAGAACAUAAUCUUUUGGCUAAUAAGUUAACAGAAGUGACCACCUACAUUAAUACCAAUGACAGCAUCAGUAAUUCCAGCCGUGUGUUUGCUUCCUUUCUGAGAAGCUGAGAACCCAGCCCAUAUCUCUUUCAUCCUCUUGACAUUUCUAUGGGGGGGGGGGGGAGGAGGGAGGGAAGGAAAGGAGGCAAAAAGGGAAGGGAGGUAUUAGGAAAUGAUGUCAUGGUAUAAAUUGUCAUUGCUAUUGAGUUGUUUUG
rnacentral:lncRNA from 1 species